UUAGACAUCUAAUGUGACACAGUUUUCUUGGCCUUUCACCUGCAUUGUAUUUAUUGACGUGUCAUUUUUAUGCUGUUUUUAUCUCUGUGAGGAUGAUUUAAACAGUCAGUGCUCCCAGCAUUGAGUGGGAGACAGCCUGAUGUGUUGAGGACAGCUACAGUUGACUGACUCUGUGUGUUUGCAUAUCUGUCCUGCCUCUCUGCUCCCAGCCGUUAAGAGGCCAGUGUUGAUCAGUGGCUGUCCAGGCCUUUCAGAGCCACUGACACGCCGGCAGCACAAUCAUCAUGUCUCUGACUCUACUGCUGGCCACCCUGGGGCUCCUUGUUCAGGGUUCAUCAGGAGACAUCACCCUCACUCAGUCUCCUGGAUCUCAGUCUGUUGUUCUGGGACAGACUGUCUCUAUCAGAUGUAAAGCCAGUUCAAGUGUUAGUAGCUACCUCAACUGGUACCUUCAGAAACCUGGAGAAGCUCCUAAACUCCUGAUUUAUUAUGCUACAAACCGUCAGUCUGGAGUUUCAGAUCGUUUUAGUGGAAGUGGAUCUGGGACUGACUACACUCUGACCAUCAGUAGAGUUCAGGCUGAAGAUUCAGGAGUUUAUUAUUGUGGACAGAGUGGCAGCACUCCGUUCACACAGUGAUACAACGUCGUAC